GAAAAAUGCAGGAACAGAUGAAGCAGGUGGUAACUGGAACUUCACUGUGUUGCCGGGACUGUUAUUAACUCAGAUCAUACACAGCUCACGCGGCAUGACUGAGCUUCUUUACACCACCACCCUCAAAUACACCAACUAUGCUGUGUGGGACUACCUCUGAGUGCGGGAAGCGCAUUUAUUAGAAGUCUGAAGAUUCAGCCAGCUGAGACCUGAAAAAACAAAAAAACAGCAACCCCCAGCUAACAAGAUCUUCCAGGCUCCAUUUAAAAGAGAAGCACCCACUGGGUUCUUCCUCACCCUGCUUUCUGCAAUGUAAAGGGAAUCAAGACACAAAGGUAAGCACUGUUCCAAAAGCCGAAGGAUGUAUGCUUCAAGCUUAGUAAAUAGGAGCAGUAGCGCUCAAAGCCUGUUCUCUAAUGAUCUAAGUAGCUUGGAUGGUCCAAUCAUACCAUAUACGCUUUUUACUGAAAAGUCUAUAGUUCAUCAGGAUCUCAGUGACUUUGGCACAGCCCCAACAACUGGGGAGAAAAGCAGAUCUGAGAUAAAAGAUUGUGGUGUGUGAAAUACACUGACUUAAUGUAUAUGUGUUUUAAGGGACAUCUUUGUUUUGACUCUGUGUAACAAACCAACAUAGCCUGUGAGGUCUGGAAGGCCAGAGACUAUUCCUACUUUCAUAGUAGGGCUCUGUUUGAAGCUAGUAUUUCUAUUUGGGGUCUAAGCCACACUGAACUUGAUCAAAUAAACAUUCUCCAAAGGAAACGGCCUUUGAACUAUUUAACUCUUUGCACACCAAACUAAAGCCAAAAGAACUGUAACAAUUACUGUAAGAUUUCUUCUGUCUUAAUUGACUUAUUUUUCAGUUUUUAAGUUACUGUUCAUCGGGACCUCUGCCUUUUCUGGCAGAACUGACCAUGUUAGCAACAGCCAGUAAAAUCUAAGUGAAACACAACCCCGUCUGAAAGCAGACUAGGUGGGGCUAAUCCUCAUAGUUCCAGGCAUACAGACUGUGCCAGUUUCAUGUUUUACAGCGUAUGUAAGUGUACACAAAUUAUAUUUAAUCUACCUGAUAGCAAUACAGCUCAGAGAUCCGAGCUCUCUCCUGGGCUGUGGGACGUACUAAGACGGUUUCUUCAUCAGUUCCAAAGGAUCCUACUCUGUAUUUCCUCCUUCUGCAAUACUACUGUAUCUAUCCUUUUCCUGAAGGAGGGCUAUUCUAGAUUUCAUCUCUUAAAAUGUUUCC